GACGAACGCUGGCGGCGUGCUUAACACAUGCAAGUCGAACGGAAAGGCCCUGCUUUUGUGGGGUGCUCGAGUGGCGAACGGGUGAGUAACACGUGGGUGAUCUGCCCUGCACUUCGGGAUAAGCUUGGGAAACUGGGUCUAAUACCGGAUAGGAGCCAUCUUUAGUGUGGUGGUUGGAAAGUUUUUUCGGUGUAGGAUGAGCUCGCGGCCUAUCAGCUUGUUGGUGGGGUAAUGGCCUACCAAGGCGGCGACGGGUAGCCGGCCUGAGAGGGUGUACGGCCACAGUGGGACUGAGAUACGGCCCAGACUCCUACGGGAGGCAGCAGUGGGGAAUAUUGCACAAUGGGCGCAAGCCUGAUGCAGCGACGCCGCGUGGGGGAUGAAGGCCUUCGGGUUGUAAACUCCUUUCGCUAGGGACGAAGCUUUGUUGUGACGGUACCUAGAUAAGAAGCACCGGCUAACUACGUG
rnacentral:rRNA from 1 species